rnacentral:rRNA from 1 species
AGUGAACGCUGGCGGUAGGCCUAACACAUGCAAGUCGAACGGCAGCACAGUAAGAGCUUGCUCUUACGGGUGGCGAGUGGCGGACGGGUGAGGAAUACAUCGGAAUCUACUUUUUCGUGGGGGAUAACGUAGGGAAACUUACGCUAAUACCGCAUACGACCUACGGGUGAAAGCAGGGGAUCUUCGGACCUUGCGCGAUUGAAUGAGCCGAUGUCGGAUUAGCUAGUUGGCGGGGUAAAGGCCCACCAAGGCGACGAUCCGUAGCUGGUCUGAGAGGAUGAACGGCAAAAGGGGAAGUGAAACAGGGGACAGACCCUUAGGGGGGGCAGGGGGGGGAAAUUUGGAAAAAGGGGGGAAAGCCGAACCCAGCAAAACGGGGGGGGGAAAGAAGGCCUUGGGGUGGAAAAGCCCUUUUGUGGGGAAAAAAAAGAGGCGGGUUAAAACCCCGGGGUUUGAAGGGUACCAAAAGAAUAAGCACGGGCAAACUUGGU